UACGUAGGGCGCGGGCGUUGUCCGGAAUUAUUGGGCGUAAAGAGCUCGUAGGCGGUCUGUCGCGUCGGAUGUGAAAGCCCGGGGCUUAACCCCGGGUCUGCAUUCGAUACGGGCAGACUGGAGUGUGGUAGGGGAGAUCGGAAUUCCUGGUGUAGCGGUGAAAUGCGCAGAUAUCAGGAGGAACACCGGUGGCGAAGGCGGGUCUCUGGGCCGAUACUGACGCUGAGGAGCGAAAGCGUGGGGAGCGACAGG
rnacentral:misc_RNA from 1 species